rnacentral:rRNA from 1 species
AGUGAACGCUGGCGGUAGGCCUAACACAUGCAAGUCGAACGGCAGCACAGGAGAGCUUGCUCUCUGGGUGGCGAGUGGCGGACGGGUGAGGAAUACAUCGGAAUCUACUUUUUCGUGGGGGAUAACGUAGGGAAACUUACGCUAAUACCGCAUACGACCUACGGGUGAAAGCAGGGGAUCUUCGGACCUUGCGCGAUUGAAUGAGCCGAUGUCGGAUUAGCUAGUUGGCGGGGUAAAGGCCCACCAAGGCGACGAUCCGUAGCUGGUCUGAGAGGAUGAUCAGCCACACUGGAACUGAGACACGGUCCAGACCCCUACGGGAGGCAGCAGUGGGGACUAUUGGACAAUGGGCGCAAGCCUGAUCCAGCCAUACCGCGUGGGUGAAGAAGGCCUUCGGGUUGUAAAGCCCUUUUGUUGGGAAAGAAAUCCAGCUGGUUAAUACCCGGUUGGGAUGACGGUACCCAAAGAAUAAGCACCGGCUAACUUCGUGCCAGCCGCCGCAGUAA